AAGAGGGCUAGUCCAAUAGGAGAUACUUGUUCAUGGCCUGAAGCAGAACCCCAAUUUGUCUUACAUGAAAUACGCUAGGUGAAGCCCAUGGACUGCUCCAAAGCUAUGAAGAAACUGAAAUGUGUUCACAGGAGAAAGAACAGAAAACCCUCUCUUUGAUGGCGUCAAUGAAACAUUCUGCAAUAUAGGAGAAGCCCACAUGGCAAGGAACUGCAUACAACCUCCAGUCAAUAUCCAGUAAAGAACUGAUGCCCUUGGUCCAAUAGCCUGCAGGUCAUUCAGUCCUCACAUCUUGAGAGGCAGGCUCUACUACCACUCCCAAGUUCCAGUUCUGACUCUGAGCUAAACUCCUACCAGAAAGGAAAG
rnacentral:lncRNA from 1 species